GGCUGAGUAAGGUUAAAGAAAGGAGCCUCCUCCAAAGACAUUGCUGCUGCAAGAGCUCCACACAGUCUGCCUUGAAUGUGCGAUCCUAUCAUCUAGGUAAGGCAUCAACUUCUUGAAAUCACAACAGUUCUCCAUAGGAAAAUAACAAGUCUUUAGAGAGCAAAGAUCCACUGCGGGAAAUACAAGACCUCUUUUAAAUCCUCACUGCAUGACACUUCUACCCCCAUGAUGCAAAGAUUAAACUAUGGAGCUAGGACAGCCACCGGAACCUGGUCUGCUUCAACAGCCAAAUCUGGCAUUCCAAGUCUUCAUUUCAAGAAGGCAACAAACUUAGCCCUAGUCCUAAAUUUUUCAGAGACAGAGAGACUCCUAAAGUUGAAUAAGACCUACCUGCAAAGGCACACUGAACUUUUCAAGCACGCCAGAAACUAACAGCAUUAACAGCACUCCUGCAGAGUGAUGGAUAUGUGGAGCAGCUUGUUUGCCUGCGUGCUGAGCUGGGCGAGAGGCAGCCAGCUCUACCUCAAAUCCUGCAUUACAGCAUCCUUCAGAGGCACUCCCUGGACAGU